rnacentral:rRNA from 1 species
UACGUAGGGCGCAAGCGUUGUCCGGAAUUAUUGGGCGUAAAGAGCUCGUAGGCGGUCUGUCGCGUCUGUUGUGAAAACUCGAGGCUCAACCUCGGGCUUGCAGUGGAUACGGGCAGACUAGAGUGCGGUAGGGGAGACUGGAAUUCCUGGUGUAGCGGUGGAAUGCGCAGAUAUCAGGAGGAACACCGAUGGCGAAGGCAGGUCUCUGGGCCGCAACUGACGCUGAUGCGCGAAAGCGUGGGGAGCAAACAGG